rnacentral:rRNA from 1 species
UACAGAGGUGGCAAGCGUUGUUCGGAAUUACUGGGCGUAAAGGGCGCGUAGGCGGUCUUGCAAGUCCCGUGUGAAAUCCCUCGGCUCAACUGAGGAAUGGCACGGGAAACUGCUUGGCUUAGUUCGGGAGAGGGAAGCGGAAUUCCGGGUGUAGCGGUGAAAUGCGUAGAUAUCCGGAGGAACACCGGUGGCGAAGGCGGCUUCCUGGACCGACACUGACGCUGAGGCGCGAAAGCUAGGGGAGCAAACGGG